AUGUCCUGCUUCAUGUUUGCUAUUCUCCUGGGCACUUUCUUAGGCAUUGACGCCCGGACCGUUCGACAGUGGCCUGUCGUCCUGGUGAGACGUGUGGGCAGCCCUGUGUCCUUGCAUUGUUCUGUGACCGGGACAUCGAACCCCAACCUGUACUGGUACUGGCAGGCAGCUGGGGGGUCCCCCCAGAUGCUCUUCUACUCGAUUGGUGUGGGCGACAUACAGAGCGAGGCCCCCGGGCACCUCUCGGCGUCCCGGCCCCAGGACAGCGAGUUCACCCUGAGCGCAGACAAGCUACAGCCGGGGGACUCCGGCGUUUACCUCUGUGCCUGGGACAUACACUGA